CAGUAGCCGCGGUAAUACGAGGGGGGCAAGCGUUGUUCGGAAUUAUUGGGCGUAAAGGGUGCGUAGGCGGUUUGGCAAGUUUGGUGUGAAAUCUUCGGGCUCAACUCGAAGUCUGCAUCGAAAACUGCCGGGCUUGAGUAUGGGAGUGGUGAGUGGAAUUUCCGGUGUAGCGGUGAAAUGCGUAGAUAUCGGAAGGAACACCUGUGGCGAAAGCGGCUCACUGGACCAUAACUGACGCUGAUGCACGAAAGCUAGGGGAGCAAACAGGAUUAGAUACCCGCGUAGUCCCUGUCUCUUAUAC
rnacentral:rRNA from 1 species